AUGAGGCAGUCACGCCCCCCUCACAUGAUCUUUCUCUCUCUUUCAACAUGCAUGCUGCAUGGGAAUGUCUUCUUACUCGAUUCAGACGUUGACAGAGAAGUUGGAUAGGCUGUCCCUGUCCCAGGACAGCAUAGAGACACUAUCACUAUGGAUGAUACAUCACAAGAGCAAAGCAAAGACGUCUGUGGACACUUGGCUAGAGGAAUUCAAAAAAGGAGAUACGGAAAGACGGCUCAUUUUGCUCUACCUGACCAACGAUGUCCUUCAGAAUGGCCGAAGGAGAGGUGCCGAAGAGUUUCUCACUCUGUUCCAAGACGCCCUUCGUGCAGCCAUUCCCCUCGUCAGGGGUCAGAAAAUCCAGGGAAAUGUUUACCGGAUGCUCAAGAUAUGGAAAGAACGCCGAGUGUACGAUUCUAUUUUCAUGGGGGAGCUAGAGAUGAUCAUUGAGCCGACCAAACCACAGACACAGGAGGCAAAGCCGGCAGAAUUCAAGUUAUCACUACUGGAGGAUGCACUGACAGAGCUGGGAAAGUUCGAGGCAGAGCUAAAGAUCAAGUCGUCUCACCUGGCACAUCUUAGAGUGGACAUCAGUCACCCUCUAGCCAGUCUCGAGCAACUCAAGGACAAGGCCGAUGGUGGCAGAGUAUCCACUGAGAUUGAUGACGCGUCUCAAAAGCUGCAGGACUUGUGCGAGUGUCUUGGGGUGGAGGUCAACGAGAGAAUUAAUGUCCUAGAUAUGCUUAAACACACAAAGGCAUUCUCAUCUCAUAAAUUCAAUGAAUUCAAGAGAACUGUGCAGAACUACAAGGAUCUGGGUACUCGAGUCAAUUCAUUCAAAGACAAACUACAGCAACACCUUCGAGAUCUCGAGCGCGCCCAAUCAACAGCCACCUCUGAUCCAACAGCUGAUGCCGAUAUCACCGAAGCCGGAGACAUGGAAAUAGAGUCAGAAUCUGAUGCUGAGGAUCUGAUUGAACCACCCCCUGUUCUCCCGUCAUCAUCCAUUAUGACCGUGGGGCAAGCAUCGUCACACGGGGUGAUGGGACAAACUUUAAUGAGCGUUUCCUCAACACCUGCACAGCUGCACAUGAUGUCCUCUAUUUCAUCACAACCUCUAAUGGCUGUAUCUGCAGCCUCAGCAGUACAGCAGCCGUACACAGCUCCUCAGAACUCUAACUUUUAUCCGUCUAAUGUACCUAAUUUCUCUGGGCCUCAAAUUCCCACGGCUGCUAAUUAUCCUCCUCGUUUUCGCCCCCCACCGAUGCAAAGACCCCCCAGGAUGCCCCCCAGCAGACCACCCCCUUAUCGGCAUUCUGUACAUCUACCGCCCUCUCCCGUUCCUGCAUCCACAAGAAUUGGUGUCUCAAUCCCCCCGCCAUCUCAAGUCCUGGAACGUGCUCCUCCUAUAUUACCGCCCUCCAAACCUGAUGCCAAACCCAUGGCAACCACCCCCUAUCCCAUGGCAAUGUCAGCCAUGGCUCUAUCUUCGGCUAAUAGCUCUCCACUAGUUGUUGUGGGUGACCCGGUAUCUUACAAGAAAGAGAAUAGCGACGAAGAGAACAGUGACACUGAUGCUAAAACCAGUAUCGAUGAAAGAUUAGAGAACUUACAAAAGUCCACUAAACUGUUUAAAAUGUCAACCACGAAUGACAAUGGAUCUAACUCUGAUGACAAAACUUACAACGAUGAUAAUGAACUUUUCACCAACUUUUCAGAAAACAGAAAUGAACGCUAUUCACCAGAAGAGGCCAGCCCUAAACUGAACAUGGACAAUCCUAUUCUACAGGCCCUGUACUCGUCCCCUCAACCACCACCUGCUGCUGCUCACACCAGUAGCAACACUGGCCAGUCUCUAACCACCAUGAUGGAAGCUGGUAGCAAACCACCUACCUCUAUGGACGCAAGUCAAAUCAAGAUCACUCCAGCUCUCACUACUCUACUCGAUCAGCUCUUACCUUCGCUUUCCAAGUCCCUGCAAAUGGACAGGAAGAGAGAAAACAAUAGUAGCCCGGACAUUCCCAGCAGUAAAAUACCUCGAAUGAACUCAGACCAAGCUGGCCCUGGUGCUGUGCACUCAAAGCCAGCACACGAUGUGCCACCGUGGAUUAGAGACCAACAAUAUCAGCAGCAGCAUCAGCCUCACUUUGAUCAACAACAGCAUCACUUUGAUCAAAAGCAACAUCAGUAUGAUCAACAACAAAAGCAACACUAUGAUGAUCAACAACACUAUGAUGAUCAACAAAACUAUGAUCAACAACACUACGAUGAUUUCUCCCCACGAUUUAGACCUCAUUACCCCUCACCAAGACAAAGAUUUGAUAGACCAAGGUUUGGAAUGAGAAUGCCCUCGUCUCGGCCUAGAGGGGCCCCACGAUUUCGUGCCAGACCACCUCAUCCUCCCGAUGGCCAUAGAGCUGGAGACGGUUAUCAAAGACCUCGACAACAAUCAAGAGGCCGUUAUGGACCUGAGUUUGACAGGCGAUCAACUUACAGCUAGUGUAUCUAUGUAUAUUAGUACAUGUAUAUAUUGUUAUAUCUAUACAGUACUGUCUCUUCUUUUGGCUUGCACAUAUUUUGUAUGCGCGCAAUGUGUUUCCUGUGUUGCCCAAUGUUAUAAUUAUUGUCACGUGAAUAA